AUUAGUUUUUUAAUUGAAGGCUAGAAUGAAUGGUUGGACAAGAAAUAAUCUGUCUUAAUUAAAUAAAUUGAAUUUAACUUUUAAGUGAAAAGGCUUAAAUAAUCUAAAGGGACGAUAAGACCCUAUAAAACUUUAUAUUUAAUAAUAGUAAUUAAUUUUAUUUUAAGAGUAUUAUUUAAAAAUAUUUGGUUGGGGUGACAAGGAUAAAAUAUGAAAUAACUGUCUUUUUUUAUUACAAUAAUAUUUGGUUUAAUGAUCCUGAAAUGGAUUAAAGAUUAAGUUACUUUAGGGAUAACAGCGUAAUUUUCUUUAAGAGUUCUUAUC
rnacentral:rRNA from 1 species